ACACUGGACAUCAAUCAAACCAAACAAAAUCAAUUGUUUGCUGACUGCUGAGUCCAUUUGCAUUUGAAAAUCAAUUGGCUACCCAGUUGCUCUUAAAAAUAUAGAAUGGAUCGAUUUUGAAUCAACAAAAUGUACGUCGUCUUGUUUUUUCUCCACCGUGAUUGGCUAGCUGUGACCUGCCCGGUAGGUCUAUACUUUGAAUAAAGAAAGAUUCCUGCAAGAAAGGGUUGUUAGGUUAUAUAGAGCUGGGUCAUGGCAUCUCUCAAGCAAGUGGCUCUAAAGAACUUCUGUGAAUAAUUGCCUUCUCAGCCCUUCCUAUUGAGUCUUCGACCUUGGCGACCAGGUCUUCCCCUAAUUAACCAGAGUCAGAUCCACUUGGCGGCCAGGUCUUCCCCUAACCAGAGUCUGCUCCACUGCACUCAACCACUCAAUUAACAGAUCCGAUUCUAUCUGUUGGCUGGUUUAGCUAUUGGACUACUGCAAUCGAGGUUGGAAGAUCAUUCUACUCUCUCUUCUCGCUCCUUUUUUUUGGGAUUUCCCUGAAGGUUCAAGCGUGCUGCGCUGGAGGAGAAAAGAAGACCACCCUAUCUCCUUGGGUUGUUUACUUGAUCACUUAUUGCUGUUUUGAUUGUACAUACUUCAAAGAUACUACCCCUGUCUCUAAAUACAAGAAAAUGCAUCUUUAAUCUUCUCUAUAUUGAUCAAAUGAUCGGCCAGAUUUUGGCCAAAUAAACUAUGGGCUUUCACAUUAAGCAGGCACCCUGAAGAUCAGCGAGCCACCUACAAAUAUCCAAUAGGAAUGUAACUGCAAAUGGCUAAAAGGGAUUCCCAAUCAAUUGUUACACGAAGUGAGCUGGAGGGCAUGCUUCGUGAUGAAACGGCAGGACCGAAGGCAACGCCAUUGUCACUUCUGGCAGAAAUAACUUACGGUUUCUCACAUAAGCAGAAAAUUGGCCAAGGUGGGUCUGCAGUUGUUUACCAGGGAAUACUUCAGAAAGGGAAUGUCGCUGUGAAGAGUCUGUCUAAUCCGUAUGUGCAUGAGAAGGAGUUCAAACGAGAAGUUGAAUGUCUCAUGAUAGCAAAGCACAAAAAUGUAGUACGGUUUCUAGGAUAUUGUGCUGACACACAAGGAAGAGCGGAAAAGUACGAGGGGGAAUUUGUCAUUGCAGAUGUACAACAAAAAUUGCUCUGCUUCGAGUAUCUUCCUAAAGGGAGUCUUGAUAAGUAUAUCACUGGUAGGAUCAUAGGCAUGCAAAAUUUCUUUUAAUCUUCAUCUUCAUUUUUAAAGAUUAUAUGGAGUAUCUCAAAGACGGUACUCACCAUGUUAUUGCUAUCUAUACAUUCGAAUGUUGAGCUCUUUUACGGUGAUUGGCGAGUA